AUAAACGAGCCAAACCCUAGAAUUAUUCAUCAAAGAAUCCCAAAUUCUCUCUCAGAUCGCAAAGAUGAAGCUCUCCUUCUCCAUCCCUUCCAAAACCUCCGCCGUCUCUACAACUUCUCAAGCCUUCUCCGACGAUCACCGCACCACCGAUUCCGAUCCCAAGCCCGAGUACUUCACCGUCUUUGAUGGCUCCCAACCCCUCCCCACUGUGUCUCCCUCCCUCGUCAUCCCCCCGAUCCCCAACUCCGACUUCCGUGCCGCUAAGAAGAUGAAGAACCUCAUCCCUCCUCCUGUCUCUGCUGACCCAGAUGUCACCUCCGAUACCCAAUUCGUCCUUGACACCUCCGGUGCUGAUGCUCCCGCGGGAUCCAUCCCCUACGGUCUUACGAUCAGGGAAUCAAAGCUCAAGGAUGAAUCGGAGGAGCGGGAUCCUCAGUUGGCCGAGCUCCGGCGGUUCCGAGAAGAUAUCAAGAGCCUGCCAGCGGACCGCGGGAUGGAGGAGUUUGCCGAUGUUUCUGUUGAGAAUUUCGCCGCUGCGGUGCUCGCCGGAUAUGGAUGGAAAGAGGGCAUGGGAAUAGGAAGAGGGAAUAAGGAAGAUGUUAAAGUGGUCCAGUAUGAUCGGCGGCAGGGGAAGGAGGGGCUUGGCUAUGAUCCUUCAUCUGCAAAGGAUGCAAAGAAGAAGAAGGACCAGAAAGUGACCGUCAAAGAGGAAAAAAUUGUUAGGGUAAUAGAUGGGAAGCAUAUGGGGUUGAAGGGCAAGAUUGUAGAGGCGUUUGAGAAGAUGGACUCGGGUUCUCCAAAAGUUGUGGUUUUGAAGUUGUUGGACAGUGGAGAGGAGGUUAGACUUGGUGGAGAUAUGAUUGCGGAGCUGGGAUCAGUGGAGGAAGAGAAGUGCUUGAGGAAAUUGAAGGAGUUGGAUAUUCGGAGGAGGGAUGAGAAGAAGAGUAGGGAUAGAAGGAGGGAGGAGAAGAGAAGUAGGGAUGGAGAAAGGGAGGCCACUAAUGGGGAGCUUGCUAAGAGUUCAAAUCAAGGCAGGAAGAGCAAUGAGAAGGAAAGGGUGCCGGUCCAGUGGCUCAGAAGUCAUAUUAAGGUGAGGAUUAUCAGUAAAGACUUUAAAAAAGGGAAAUAUUACCUCAAAAAAGGGAAGGUUGUGGAUGUUGUUGGGCCUAUGCGGUGUGAUAUUUCAAUGGAUGACAAUGGUGAACUAGUCCAGGGUGUGCAUCAGGACAUGUUGGAGACGGCAAUACCCAAGCGGGGAGGCUCGGUACUCGUGUUGUAUGGUAGGCAUGAGGGUGUCUAUGGUAGAUUGGAGGAGAGGAACACAGAGAAGGAGACUGGUGUUGUCAGGGAUGCGGACAGUCAUGUUUUGAUUAAUGUGAAUUUGGAGCAGAUUGCUGAAUAUGUUGGUGAUCCAAGCUACAUUGGUUAUUGAAUGUACUGUAGAUAUUACUGCUCAGCGGCCUUCUUUAAGGUUCUUUGGGAGAAUUUCCGGCAUGUCACUUGGCAGCUGGUUGGCAAGAGUGAACACUAUCGACUCAAAAGAUUUACAUGUUCGGGCAAAUUGAAUGACCUGGCAGAAAACUCUAGGGAGUACUUAGUGAAAGAGUGAAAGUGGGACGAUGAGUGUUUUUGGAAGUAGGCAUUGGAGCAUCAGUGUAUUGACACAGGAUGAGUGAUAAGAUUUCUCUCAGAGUCUCCAAUUUCAGUACUUGGUGAAAACGGUGAGCUGAAAUGUUCUUAGAAGUGGAGACUGGAGGAUCAGUCUGUAUAGCUUUAUUACAUGCCAUCCUAUUAACUUAAAAAUAGACAGAUUUUUAUGCUUACAAAUGCCAAACGUCUCAGUCAUUCUUCCCUCUUUGUUGCAUAAUCCUAAUCCAAGGUUUAUAGAUUGAGCAAUUGGCAUUACAAGCCAGGAUGGAAAAUCAUGGGGGUUCAAAGUAGGAGUUGUACUCAAACUAUUCAAGA